rnacentral:rRNA from 1 species
CCUACGGGCGGCUGCAGUGGGGAAUAUUGGACAAUGGGGGGAACCCUGAUCCAGCCAUGCCGCGUGUGUGAAGAAGGCCCUCGGGUUGUAAAGCACUUUCAGUGAGGAAGAACGCCUGGUGGUUAAUACCCAUCAGGAAAGACAUCACUCACAGAAGAAGCACCGGCUAACUCCGUGCCAGCAGCCGCGGUAAUACGGAGGGUGCGAGCGUUAAUCGGAACUACUGGGCGUAAAGCGCGCGUAGGUGGCUUGAUAAGCCGGUUGUGAAAGCCCCGGGCUCAACCUGGGAACGGCAUCCGGAACUGUCAAGCUAGAGUGCAGGAGAGGAAGGUAGAAUUCCCGGUGUAGCGGUGAAAUGCGUAGAGAUCGGGAGGAAUACCAGUGGCGAAGGCGGCCUUCUGGACUGACACUGACACUGAGGUGCGAAAGCGUGGGUAGCAAACAGGAUUAGAUACCCGAGUAGUCC